UACGUAGGGUGCGAGCGUUGUCCGGAAUUAUUGGGCGUAAAGGGCUCGUAGGCGGUUUGUCGCGUCGGGAGUGAAAUCCACUGGCUUAACUGGUGGCUUGCUUUCGAUACGGGCAGACUGGAGGUAUGCAGGGGAGAACGGAAUUCCUGGUGUAGCGGUGAAAUGCGCAGAUAUCAGGAGGAACACCGGUGGCGAAGGCGGCUUGCUGGGCCAGUUCUGACGCUGAGGAGCGAAAGCGUGGGGAGCGAACAGG
rnacentral:rRNA from 1 species